UCGAGAAUCUUCCGCAAUGGGCGAAAGCCUGACGGAGCGACACCGCGUGCAGGACGAAGGCCCUCGGGUUGUAAACUGCUGUCACGCUCUAGGAAUCCCGUGUUGUGAAUAGCAGCACGGUUGACUAAGGCGAGAGGAAGUGGCGGCUAACUCUGUGCCAGCAGCCGCGGUAAGACAGAGGCCACGAACGUUGUUCGGAAUCACUGGGCAUAAAGCGCACGUAGGCGGCUAGGUCCGUCCGAUGUGAAAGCCCCCGGCUCAACCGGGGAAUAGCAUCGGAUACAGCCUGGCUUGAGGACGGUUGGGGUGAGUGGAACUCCUGGUGGAGCGGUGAAAUGCGUAGAUAUCAGGAGGAACACCGGUGGCGAAAAGCGGCUCACUGGACCGUUACUGACGCUGAGGUGCGAAAGCUAGGGGAGCAAACGGGAUUAGAUACCCGCGUAGUCCCUGAGCGGGCUGGCAAGGCGCAU
rnacentral:rRNA from 1 species